rnacentral:rRNA from 1 species
AAGCUCGUAGUUGAAUUUCGGGAUUAGUACGUCGGUCGUGCCUUAGGUGCGUACUGGUGUUACUGGUUCCUACCUUCUGACGAACCAUCAUGUCAUUAAUUUGGUGUGGUGGGGAAUCAGGACAGUUACUUUGAAAAAAUUAGAGUGUUUAAAGCAGGCUCGCGCUUGAAUACAUUAGCAUGGAAUAAUGAAAUAGGACGUUGAUCCUAUUUUGUUGGUUUCUAGGAUUGACGUAAUGAUUAAUAGGGAUAGUUGGG